CCGCCGAGCCGCUCUCACGAGCCGGAGGGGGAUGGCUCUGCCUGUGGAGUCUCCACCGUUCUCGGGAGGUGCCGUCCGCCCACCUGAAGGCACCGGGGAGCAUGGAGGUGGCUUGGAAAGCUGCGUGGGUGACCGAGCAGUGGCUACUGUGUGACAGAGCUCGCCGUGGGCGAAGGAGGAGGUGAAACCCACUAAUGCGUUUAGCGAAAGGGAAGGCCUUGUUGCUCCCCUUUGAACUACAAUCGCAAAACUGAAUGGAGUCCCGGCUGCUGCAGUUAUCAUUUCAGUAAACGUGGAAUAUUAUUUUACCAUAAAAAUUGUGCUUGAUGUCAUUUGCCUCCAUGUGCCUUUAAUACUAAUCACCAGUAGCUAUUUUAUGUUAGUUUGUUAGCCCCUUCUUUCUGGCCCUCUCAGCUUCAAAGUUACAGCUUUCCUGUUGCAUAAAAAUGAAAAAGUGGAGGGUCAAAAAAGUGUAACUAACAGUAUUUACACACAAUUAAAAUCUCAUAGUUUGGUUA